rnacentral:tRNA from 1 species
UGGGGCGUAGCCAAGGGGUAAGGCACGGGUCUUUGACUCCCGCAUUCGUAGGUUCAAAUCCUGCCGCCCCAGCCA